rnacentral:lncRNA from 10 species
CCUGGGUACUUGAUUUAUGACUCUUGGCCAAGAUAAAAACAGUGCUGUUUAAGGAGCAUAGAACCACCAAUGGGAACUCCUGCUUUGAGCUCUCCUGAAGCCUGGAUUCUUUACAGAGAUCUUGAUGAUUCAGUCUGGAGACAGAGCGUGAUCAGAUCCUUUUGUGACUAAUGACACUGGGAACUUGCUCAUGGGAUGCCAGUCGGACCCCUAAUGAUUCCUGCCCUUUCUUUCUCUUGAGGCAUUGUAUCCAUUGCCUUUG